GAGGGACAGCAGGGAACUAUGGGUGGAGGUGGGGGCUGAGCACUGAGGGACAGCAGGGAACUAUGGGUGGUAGUGGGGGCUGAAUGCAUGUGGGAGGACCCUGUCUCUGUUUAUUGUCAGGAGCAGGUGGGAACUUGUCUCUUUUGGGAGGUUAAGUCCCACCUGCUGUUGCACCCAGAGUGGGGAGAGGCCCAUGUUGCACUCCGCAGCCACCCUGACACCCUCAGAGCUCUUGCUUGGAGCAGCAUGGAGAUGGCCUGGGCAGUUGAGGCUGGGAUCUCUCUCCUAGGCCCUAACAGAACACUGAAGGUGGCAGUUAGGAGGGCCCCACAGGGCCUCUGUUCUCACCGUGCCCCUCCUGGGUCUGUGCUGACCUCAGAGCUGUAAGGAAGAGCUGCCUGUGGGUGGAAUGGCCGGAGGACAUCCUUGUGAAGGUUUCCAGUGAAACUUCAGGGAUAGGCAGAGCCCACCCCAGAGGCCAGGCCCUUCCAGUGUGGCUUGAGCUGCUGCUCAGAGGCAGGGUGUGCACGGGGCCGACUGACCAGACUUGAGGAUGGGGUGUCCUGGCAAUCAGGUGGAAAGGCGAGAACCCGAAGCCAGACUGCAGAGUGUGGAGGGUGGGCACUGGCAUCCCUGAGGGAGUUCUUGAGUAGAGGGACAGCAGGGCUUUAGGUGGACACCUCAGGAGACCUAUGGGUCUCAAGGCUGAAGGCACAAGUGGACCAAGGACAGAGGCAUUGGUCUUUCCCAUUAUCCCAAGUGGGGCUGAGGGACAAGGGUAGACUUGGGUGCAGGCCAGUGGGUUGGCCAGACAGAUGGCCAGGAGCAAGGGCAGAAGAAGGGAGGACACUUCCCUCCGCAGCAUAUCGAAUUGAGUAGGAAACUGGAGAGGACAAGAAUUGGACACUACAGGACUUAGCCGCAGAUGACUGGGAGGAUCCAAGAGCCACACAAAUGGCGGUGGGACACACAAGGACAGGUCGUCGUGGGAUGUAGGACCUCAGCGUGGACACCGUGCAGAUCACCAUCUUUCCUGGGGACCAAGACGUGGGUCACACUGACCUCAAGAACAGUAGAGGUUUGUCCUUCCACUCCUUCGACACCUGCAAGGCUGCUGAGCGUGUAGGGGGGCCUGGCCCAUCCCCAUGAUCCUCUGUUCCCAGUGUGGACGCUGCUCUGCAGUUUCAGCUUUGUUGCUGCGGCCAUCGAAGAGGCACCCUGUCCCAUGGACCCUGCGCGGCUCCUGCUGUGUGGCAGCUGUGAAGACCCUCCUGGUGCUCCCACCCUCCCACCCACUGCUGAGUCCAGUGGACAUGGCGACCCCUGGGCACCCUCGGCCUCCCUGGAAUGCAGAGGUCAGGUCAGGACUCCCCUGCAGCCUCAGACGAUGGGCAAACUGUGCCAGGCACAGGGUGCCGUGAGUGAGAUGUCGUGCCAGCUCAUCAUCACCGGGAGGCUACCUGGGCAGCCAGCCACUAGGAAACGUGGCGAGGGCACUACGCUCACUGUAGCUCCAUGAAUUGCAUGAAGGUGGCCUGGUGGGCGGUGAAGCUUCAUGCAGAAGGGGCCUCUGGAGCAGCCUUGAGGAGUGGAUGAACCCAGUGUGGGAGCAAGACCUUAGCUGCUGGGUCUGCCUUUGUCAGCCAUGUGUGUCCUCUCAGGUGCCACAUCAUCUGUCGCACAGAAGUCUGUGUCACCAGUCAGUGUUUGUGGUGGUUUCUGAGUCCUGGACAGUGUCUCAUGGCUCCUACAGCACGGGGGGGGGCACCCUGUUGCUUGCAGUGUGAGGGGGGUAUGCGAGCAUGUGGCCGUGCCCUGCCUGUGAGGCUCUCCUAGGACCCAGGAGCUGGAGGUAGGUCUGGGUGUGGGAGGCGGCCAAAUCCCAGCUUCCCGGGGCAGCUCCUCCUCCCCUCCUGGGCACUGGGGACAGCUGCUGCCCUUGUGGACGAACCUGACCACAGCUGUGCUUUGUGGACUCAUGGCCUCUAAACAGCCUGGAGCCUGCUCUUGUCCCUGCUUUCUGACUUGCCGCUUCCCCAGUUGGUCUGUGGCUGGAGCUGCCGAGCCAGCUGCUGGUCCCUGUCGAUGCUGGCUCUCAGAACAGGAGGGCCGCUGCCUUCCCAGCUUGGCUUGGGCGCCCCGCGCAGGAGACAGUAGCAACCAGGGGGUUGGGGCUGCUGACCUCUGGUUGCCCUCCUGGCCCGCGUGGCCUUCAGGACGUGGGGAAGACAGACCUGCUUCAGCAGUGGCUGACUCCCCUGGACACCUGGCAGGUCCUGCUCAGGUUAAAGCAGCUGCAGACAUUCCCUGUCUAAUGACUUUCCUUAUUGCCUGACAAUCUAUCUGAACUAUCGGCUCAUUUCCAACCUGCCAGUUCUCUCAAAAGUUAUGGGAAUGGCCUUCAAACUGCAGCCUCAGCACCUCACCGUGGGCUGGCUGUGCACAGAGAGCCUGUCACCAGAGGGCAGAGGCCCAGGGAGCCUCUGCAGCACUCUCAGGGCUGGCAUGGGGGAGCCACUCUGCUGUCAUGGCUGGCCUGGGAGUGCUGCGGCCUCUAAGGGCAAGGCAGAGAGCACUGGCCGUGGCCAGCAUCGGUGCCCUUGGCACAGAUGGGGAAGCACAGGGAGAACUGGCCUCCAGGUGGGCUCUGUGCUGGGCAGUGCUCUGUGUUCACUUCCACAGUGUCCCAAGGACUUUGUCCCCCCGGGGAGGCAGGGCAUUGAGGACAAUGUCCUGCCCCCCCUGGGGGAAGGAACUCACUUAGGAACGCUGUGCUCAGGGUUCCCUGGCAGCUCAGUCAUGCCAGGGACAUGGUGAGAGCUCCCUACGCUCCUGCCAGCCCCAAUGCCAGGCAGGAUGUGGGGGGAGCAGAGGAGCCGACCCAACCAGGGAAGGAGCCGGCGCUCCUUCUGCCCCUCCCCGUGGGCAGAGCCCACAGUCACUGAGGUCUCUGCUCCAUGUGGGAAAGGAACCUAAGGCACCUCCGCCCUCCCACACGUGUCUGUCUCCGCCCUCCCACACCUGAGCUGAGGAGGCAACGUGAGGGCAGCGUGUUGGAACUGCACAAGGAAUACAGGAAAUGGCUGCUGUGGUCAUUGGUGAUGCUCUAAGAGGCCUGGUCUCUGCCCUGGAGGCCCUACUUGAAGGAGAGGCAAGCACAGAGAGGCAUUUUCAUACCACGGCGUUCUGUGUGGAACAGUUGUGGUGUCCUGGGUUUUCCCCAAUCUAGGUCCCCCAAAUUAGGCCAGGCACUGCCACCAGCCCCUCAGCCCGGUGGACUUCUGCCUAAGAACCAGCCUCUGCCCUGCUGGCCUGAUUUACUCAGCUCGGAGCACCCUCAGGGUCCCUCCUACACAGCAUCUUCCUUCCCACAAUCUAAAUGGGUCAUGCUUUCUGUUGGUUCCUGCUUCUCUCUCCUCGGAGACCUCUCUGCUCUGCGUCUGCCCAUCAGGCCCUGGUCCUUAAAAGUCAGCAUGAUCUGCACACAUGGACCCAUCGCACUUCGGUGGUCCCUAGAGGUGGGCAGAAGAAGAGCUACGGGCGGCAGGGAGAUGGUCAGCCCAGGAGGGCCACAGGAGGACAGGGAUUGCCACGAGGGCAUGUGUCUGGCUGUUGGGUCGUCCUGGCACAGCAGGGAAAGGAGCCUUCAGGGGGACACAGGUGUGUCAUGGAGGGAGAGCCCCCGCCUGUGAGCCACUGGGCCGUGGUCUCCUUCACUGUCCUGGCCCCAUUUCCCGAUCUGUAAAAAGAAGCAGCUGCCCUGAGUUAUGUCCAGUGACCCUGAAGUCUCUGAGAUCAGGUGGGUGCCAAUUGCCCCUGAAGAUACCCAGGCAGUGCCAUCUUCAGCCUUAGAUAUGACACCCCUGCUGCACAAGACGUGCCAACCCAGGAAAGCACACAUUGGUUUGGGAAUGGCAUCUCACCUGUCCACAGAAGUUUAUGCUGACCCACAGUCCACUCUCUCAUCCAAUCCUAACCCUAACAGGCAGCAGGAAAAGCUCUCACCCCAUGCUGUGGUUCAGGAAAGCAAGACAGAGACACGACUGCUUUUUCCAAGGUUUCUGCAUAAAUAAAACUGAAAUUCAGACUGGAGCAGGUCACCCUGCAAUCCAUCUUUCAAAGAGCGCAUGCCCACCCUUUCCCUUACCUUGGAGAGGGUCAGCAGACCCAGGCUGGACGUCAGUGCCCACAGGGAGGGCCAUGCUGCCUGUCCUGUGGGCUGGGCCUUUGCUCUCCCUGCUCACCUGCCUGGCCUCCCUUGCAGGGCCAGCUCCUCCCCUGCUGGUCACUGCCAGUGCUCCCUGGGGAGUGUCCCUGAUUGUCCUAAUUAUUCUGAGACUUUAGUUAAAGCUAUUUAUUCCACCUUGGCCAUGGCUCAGGAGCCCUCUGGAGCGACAGCCACCUUGCCAGCCUGUUGCCUGUCCCAUUGCUCCAGAGCCACGUUGGCCAUAUAAAGAAGGGCUUGUCACCCAGUGGGCUUCCCUUCUUGUGGCAGCUGCUGCUCCUUGACGCACCAGGGACCAGGGUGACUUUGCUACCAGAGUAGCUCAGCCCCGAGCUUCUCAGACUUCAGUUGCUGCCAUGCCCACCCUGCCGUGCCCACCCUGCCAUGCCUACCUCUGGAGCCACAGUGGCUGUGGAGGUGAGCUCACUACCUGGGCCACCACAGGUGUGUCUCUGGAUUGGUGUGGUGUAUUCACCCUGCUGACAGAGCGCACAAUUGUGAAGUUUGGUCAGAUGUUCCAGGAAGUCAGGUUGACGUCUUUGAGAGGAGUCCCAGGUUCUUUCUCUUAGGGUGCCGAGAUGGUCCUGUGGCUCCAGGUGGCUCUCCUGUUUGAUUGACAAUGUCUCCUAGGAAAGAGGCUGAGAAAUUGGUAUCCAGGUACCCUCCAUAGCGGGGGGAGGCUCUGCAGAUAGGAGGUGGGAGCUGGACAUUGGGUGAGAGGCUCUUGUACCUCUUGUGCAGAGACAUUGUCCGCUCUGGGGUCUAUGUACCCCUGGCAGUUGAAGCUCAUGCCUACAAGGACAAUAGUGCCAUCACUUCUGCCUUGAGCAUUUUCACAGCUCCCAGAGACCUUCACGUGAUGGGCAGCCUCUGUAGUGGGCUCACAGCCCCCGGUGGGCUCUGGUUUCCUGAUGCCACACUGACUGCAGUGUGUUUCACCUCUGUGUGCAGCACAGCCCUGGGCAGUUGCUCCCCCACUCAGAGCUCUGCUUUGCUCCCACCCUUGCCCAUGUCCCCAUUCUGCCAGCCAUGAAGUAUGAGUGGCUGCCCACAUUCCUGGUGAUCAUAGGCCAGGGGACACUUAAAGAGUAAAAAAAAAAAAAAAAAAAAAAAAAAA